rnacentral:rRNA from 1 species
GAUGAACGCUGGCGGCGUGCUUAAUACAUGCAAGUCGAGCGAACAGAUGUGCAGGUUGCUCCUCUCACGGUAGGGGGGGUGGGUUGAGUAACACGUGGAUAACCUGCCGACAAGGCUGAGAGAACUUCACGAAUGAUGAGCCAAUACCAGGUCAGAUGUACACCCGCAUAGUUUGAUAGAGAAAGACGGUGUUGUAGUGACUUUAUGACUGAUCGCCGCUGCGUGAGCUAAUUGGGAAGGUAACGGCUUACCAAGGCAAGGCCGCGUAGGCGCGCGGAGCGGGUGAUCGGCCAGACUGGAACUGAGACUCGGUCCGGGCUCCUACGGGAGGCAGCAGUAGGGAAUCUUCCGCAGUGGGAGAAAUCCUGACGGAGCACCGCCGCGUGAGUGAUGAAGGUCUUCGGAUCGUAAAACUCUGUUAUUAGGGAAGAACAAAUGUGUAAGUAACUAUGCACGUCUUGACGGUACCUAAUCAGAAAGCCACGGCUAACUACGUG